rnacentral:lncRNA from 1 species
GUUUCAUUUUUUCAUUGAGUCUCUGAUAGAUUUUGGUAUUAGGCUGAUGCUGGCUUCCUAGAAUUAGCUAGGGAGGAGCUCCUCCUAUUCUAGAUUUUCUUAUUUAUGUGCAUAGAGUUGUUUUUAUUACACUCUGAGGAUCUUUUCUGUGUCCUAGGCUUCUCCUCCUCCCUUCUCCUCUUCCUGGCUGCCUGCCCUCCUCCCAUUUGAAAAGUUGGACAUUUAUGUUUGGAAUACUUUUUGCUAGUGUUAAAGUGGAGUAACAGAAGUCACCCCUAGCAACUAAACCUGUUAAAAAAAAUAAUGAUUUCUAGUCACAAAUUUAUUGUGCAGUGCCAGAAGAAUAAUGAAGAGAAGUGUAUCUUUCUCCUUUCUUUUUUUCCUUGUCCCUGGGUGGAAAGCAUGAGAGCAACACAAUAAUAGCAGCAGCUGUGCUUUUAGAUAUCUCCCUCCUACUGAAAUAGGGUUGUUCAGUGAGAUGCAAACCUGGUGUGUAAUUAUAUAUUUACAAGGCAUACAUAAUAAUAGCUGUAUGCUAAACACUAAGGAAGUAAAAUGAAAAAUAAAAAAAAUACUGAGUAGUGAAUGUAAAGAAGCUACAAAUACUCUGCUGCUCAGUGUACCAUGCACAGUCCUUUAUGAAUAAAUUUCAUGUGUGCAAAUGAAGUAAGAGAAGUUAAUUUGACAGCUAACAAUAUCAAGUGGAUAAAUUACCCUUUGGAAAACUGUUAUGAACUUAGAUAGUGUUUCUCCCAAUUUUCUCAAGCUUUGGUGGGUGAAAUUGUUAGACCUGGGUUUUUCUCGCUUCUAAAAAUAGAAUUGUAGUGAUUCGUGGUUAGUGAGGUGGUUUGAACUGUGUCAACUUGCUUAAUCUGAAAUCUGUUGUCCCAGAAUUCCCUGCAGGGUUCUGCAUCAGAGCAAUGUGUAUGCAAUUUGGAAAACAGAGGUAACGCAGCAGCCAUUGAUUGAAGUAGUUAUAUUUACAUGCAAUGACAGAAACGAGCAAAGAUGUCACAGGUUCUAACUUGUCCUCCUUCUCCCUGGCUCCACAUCCAGCUUUUUUCCCUCCUGCCAGACUCACCAGCUGUGGCUUCAGGUCCAUCUACAGACUAUGAGUUGUGGACCUUCAGAAGCAGCUGAAGCAAAGAAAUUCCCACUGAUUACUUUACUUUAUUAAAAUAAAAUUUUUUAAAAAUUGUUAUUUCAAUAGCUUUUGGGAUACACAUGAUUUUUGGUUACAUGGAUAAAUUAGAUGGUAGUGAAUCCUGAAAUUUUCAGGUGCCUGUCACCCAAGUAGUGUACAUUGUACAUAAUAUGUAGUUUUUUUAAUACCUACCCCUCCAUUCUAAUCUCUCCCUUCUGAGUCUCUAAAGUUCAUUAUAUCACUCUAUAUUCCCACAGCUUAGCUCUCACAUGUAAGUGAGAAUGUACAGUUUUUGGUUUUCCACUCCUGAGUUAAUUCACUUAGAAUAAUAGCCUCCAGCUCCAUCCAAGUUGCUGCCAAAGACAUUAUUUUGUCUCUUUUUAUGGCAGAGUAGUAUUCCUUGGUGUAUAUAUACCUAUACAUACGAUAUUUUUUUUAUCCUCUUGUUGGUCUACACUUAGUUUAGUUCCAUAUAUUUGCAAUUGUGAAUGGUGCUACUAUAAACAUAUGUCUGCAAGUUUCCUUUUCAUAUAAUGACUUUUUUCCUUUGAGUAAAUACUCAGUAGUGGGGUUGCUGGAUCAAAUGACAGUUCUACUUUUAGUUAUUUAAGGAAUCUCCAUACUGUUUUCCAUAGAGGUUGUACUAAUUUACAUUCCCACUGGUGAUGUAAAAGUGUUCCCUUUUCACCACUUCCACAUUAACAUCUAUUGGCUUUUGAUUUUUUUAAUAAUGGCCAUUCUUGCAGGAGUAAUGUGGUACCUCAUUGUGGUUUUAAUUUGCAUCUCCCUGAUUAUUAAUGAUGUUGAGCAUUUUUUAUACUUUUGUUGGCCAUUUGUAUAUCUUCUUUUGAGAAAUAUCUAUUCAUGACCUGUGCCCACUUUUGAUGGUAUUAUUUCUUUUUUCUUGCUGAUUUGUUUGAGUUCCUUGUAGAUUAUGAAUACUAGUUCUUGUUGGAUGUGUAGUGUGCAAAUAUUUUCUCCUAUUCUGUGGGUUAUCUGUUUGCUCUGCUAAUGAUUUCUUUUGCUGUGCAGAAGCUUUUUAGUUUAAUUGCGUCCCAUUUAUUAAUUUUUGUUUUUGUUUCAUUCGCUUUUGGGGUCUUAGUCAUGAAUUCUUUGCCUAGGUCAAUGCCUAGAAGAGUUUUUUCAAUAUUGUCUUCUAGAAUUUUUGUGGUUUCAGGUUUUAUAUUUAAGUCUUUGAU